AUCCAACUGACAAGUCUCAAAUAGGACGAAACGUGCAUCCUGGAU
rnacentral:hammerhead_ribozyme from 1 species